AGAUGUUAGGGUUUUCGUUACCACUUCAUUCCUGUUACUCUCUCUCUCUCUCUCUCUCUCAACAUCUUGGAUCCUCUUCCAGAAGAUGUUAGGGUUUUGGUUAUACACAACUUUUCUGACCUUUCUUGAGUUGAAGCGAAUCGAAGACAAGAACAGUCCUCAGGUCUCGUUCUCCGAACGACGCGGCGGUCUCAUGAAGAAAGCCAGCAAACUCUCUGUCCACUGCGACGUCGAUGUCAGCCUCUUCGUCUUCUCCGGCCGCGGCCGCCUCCACGAGUUCUGCGGCGGCGACAGGUCUGAAAAUCAAGAAGUUUCUGUUGUGGGGACCAUCGCUUCACAACCCCAAUAGUCGCUAAUAUUAUACGCCUAGAACUGUGCUCGCUGGACAAGAAGCGUACCUAUGCUAGUUGUUCGAGUUGUGAGUGCAGUCAUUAUGGCGAUAUGGAAAGCCGUUCCGCUCAGGCUUGCUACCCGGUCUUGGGUUUUGCUUUGUAUGUAGAGAAGCGGGGUGUGUGUGUGUCAGAAAGCAAAUGUUUGGUCGAUAUUUCGUGUUACGCAUGUCUGUUGGGGUCAUGGAUUUUGCUUGUAUUAGUGGAUCGGAAGCAGAGACAAGUCUUUUCUGGUGACUAGGCUGCUAGUAUCAAGGUUUUCAAUAGCGGCAGGGGCCCGAAUAACAGUGGCAGUAACGCUGUAAUGGUAGUGGGAGCAUUGAGUUUGACGCAGGGAGAUCGAGUGUAGAGUUCAUGGAUUUCUGAAAUUGUGUUUGGUGCUAGAGCACUUAAAGCUAUUGUAGCAGUCAAGCACUGGCCGCAGCGGCUUUGAAGUGGGCAAAAAUCGGGAUACAAACUGAGAGUCUGAUAUGUAUGGGUAUUAGGCCGAUACACCUGUGAAUAUUGGGUAUCAUCGGAUACACGAUGUAAUGGUAUCAAAAGGCCAAAAUCUGAUACAUAGUGGCCGUUAUUUAAAACCUCGGCUAGUAUAUGAACGUGUACGUAUGUAAGUACAUACACACGUACAAUUGAUUACGCCUAUGUCGGACCCUCCCGUAAUUACACAACAUUAUUUCUUCAAAAAGUACAUCUGUUUAAAUCUAGGUGGUUGUGGGUGUUGUUUAAUUGCAGGUUGCACCACAAGGAAAUAGAGUUCUGGUUCGCUUGGCGGAGCUACCUGAGCGAAAAGUAUCUGAACUUGGUAUCGUUCCUGCACUGAUCUAGAUGUGAAAUUAGCUGGUGGAGUUUUGCUUCCCAAAGCAGCUGUCAAAUUUGAGCGUUACCUUAUGGGGGAGGUGAGCAAAAAUACAGUCAGCACUUCAGCAGCAGUCAAACUGAUUUGAAAUAAAAGAACUCAGUUUCCUUAUGUUGAGCAGAGACUAGUCUUUUCAGCAAAUGUGGGGUGUGUAAAUUAAAGUACUACUCCUAUGUGCUUGUCCUGAAGAUUUAAGAAAAAGGGUCUAGAUUGUCUUUAUUUUGGUCAUGCCUAGGCUAUGGAUACACAACUUUUCUGGCCGUUCCUGAAUGAGCAAGGAAAAUAACAACGAAUAGUGACUAGAUGCAUCAACGAACACAAAGACUAUUGACGGAGGCCACCACACUCCCAAACUUUAGAGUUUCUUUUGUCUCAUGUAUUUAGUAUUUACAAGAAAUCCUAGGUUUUAACUCCUGUAAAAUCUUAAUAGUUUUACUUUAAUCCCUGCGAAUUCUACAUAAUUUUAUACUUGGUCAUGUCUUUGUCAAAUUUGUGCGUCCUUUGUCCGCCACGGACUAGAUAGCCGAGGGAUGUUUGAAUCUUAGGCCCCGUUCCGCUAAGGUUUUUAUUUUUUAAGUACUAAAAUACUAAUUGAUCAAACUUUGUUCAAUGAGGAUCCACUCCAGAGCUUAGGGACCGAAAACCUCCUUUAAUAAAAGUAGACUAAGAUAUGUGAUUUGGUCGAUACCAAAUCUAUUGCUUUUCUUUUCAGUUAG